rnacentral:misc_RNA from 1 species
CUGGCCACACUUGCAGAUUCGUUGGCGACGCCUUUGAUCCGAUCUCUGUUCCCGGAUUAUUGGAUUAUUUGACUUUACUAUUGGAAAAUGUCCGUAGAAGUGGAUUUCGUCGACAAAAAGGAGAUUCAUCUCCGAACCCUGAAGCAGUCCGGUCACGUGGGAUUCGACAGCUUGCCGGACCAACUGGUCAACAAGAGUGUCCAGAAUGGAUUUGUCUUCAACGUCAUGUGUAUAGGCGAAACCGGACUGGGCAAAUCCACGCUGAUGGACACGUUGUUCAACACCAGCUUCGAGUCCACACCGAGUCCCCACACCUUGCCCAGCGUCAAGUUAAAGGCACACACCUACGAGCUGCAGGAGAGCAAUGUGCGACUCAAGCUGACCAUAUGUGACACGGUGGGCUACGGCGAUCAGAUUAACAAGGACGACUCGUUUAAGGCGGUGGUGGACUACAUCGAUGCACAGUUCGAGAACUAUCUCCAGGAGGAGCUGAAGAUCAAGCGAUCGCUGGUGUCAUGUCACGACAGCCGCAUCCACAUCUGCCUCUACUUCAUCUGCCCCACUGGGCACGGCCUCAAAUCGUUGGAUCUGGUGUGCAUGAAGAAGCUGGACAGCAAGGUGAACAUCAUUCCGGUGAUUGCUAAGGCGGAUACCAUUUCCAAGGUUGAGCUGCAGCGCUUUAAGGCAAAGAUCAUUCAGGAGCUAAACACCAAUGGAGUACACAUCUAUCAGUUCCCAACCGAUGAUGAGACGGUGGCCGAGACCAACACCAGCAUGAACUCGCACAUUCCCUUCGCCGUGGUGGGCAGCACGGAGUUUAUUAAGGUGGGGAACAAGCUCAUCCGCGCUCGCCAGUAUCCCUGGGGCACGGUGCAGGUGGAGAAUGAGACGCACUGCGACUUUGUGAAGCUUCGCGAGAUGCUUAUUCGCACCAACAUGGAGGAUAUGCGCGAAAAGACACACACGCGGCACUACGAGCUGUAUCGCCAGAAGAGACUUGAGCAAAUGGGCUUCAGCGAUGUGGAUAGCGACAACAAGCCAAUUUCGUUCCAGCAGACGUUUGAGGCCAAGCGCUCCAACCAUCUGGCCGAGCUGCAGUCGAAGGAGGAAGAGGUUCGCCAAAUGUUCGUGCAGCGCGUGAAGGAGAAGGAGGCCGAGCUGAAGGAGAGCGAGAAGGACCUGCACGCCAAGUUCGAGAAACUAAAGCGGGAUCACGCCGAGGAGAAGCGCAAGCUGGAGGAGUCGCGAAAGGCGCUCGAGGAGGAUUACCUCGACUUCCAGCGGCGCAAGCAGCAGUUGGUCACCGCCCACCACACGCUCACCCUCGGCAAGAGCAAGAAGAAGUAGAAUCCGGCGGCACCGCCGAACAAUGUAUUGAGAAUUCUGUGCGGUUCGCUUAUCCCAAAGUAAUUAUUGCUUUCUCAUCUCGUUGUCUUUCAUUUGUACUAUUAAGUUUACUUCAAAUAUUAACAUAUACACAACUACACGCAUAUGUACGCAGUAAUAUAUGAUUAUGUAUUUACAACUAACGAAUAAAUCGAACUUAGUAUUUUAACAAGGUAAAAA